UAUAGGUCAGACAUCAUCUGCUCUGCUGAUGUUAUAAAGUGGCUCCGGGCUUUAUUGAUGCUACGGUUGCUGGCUACUGUCAUAUGGGGCCAACUGCUACAUUUCACAGUUGAACAAGCAGGUUCACUGUGUUCUACCAAACACUACAAGGUUCGUGUUAUUUUUAGAAUAAUAAUCAACCGAGACGUAAGUGUUAAACCGAAUAAAACAGCACAAUUGUUAGAGAGAGUAUGUCCAGAGUAAAUACUGGACAUACAUUUUUCAGGUGGGUAGAAGCACAUCUGUUUAUGUUGAUGUUACUGUUCAUGUUUGUGUUGCUCUGUAUCUGCUGGAUGUGUGUUCCUCUGACCCCCUUUCAUAUGAUUUUCAUGGUCAUGACUAAACAACAACCUUAAAUAUAAUACAACCAUAAUACUCAGCUAAUUUGCUUCGUCGAGACUGUGUGGGCUUGAUCAGAUUUGACCUGACAACAUAAACAAACCACCACCACACAGCUGUCACCAGACUCAAAUAUUGCUUAGUCCUUAUUGGUGCUUGGUUGAUGCCUAUAAAUUGCUGUCAACACCUCUGGAUGACCACAGUCUGUCUUUAAUAUCAGCCACUGUCCAUUUUCCUGCACACGCCCAGGUGACAAUAUUUUCAUGUUUUACAGUUUCACUGAUACUAAUUUGUUUGUGCACACAUCAUUUCAACUUGUCAUCUGGAUCUGUCAGUCACAUUCACUACUGCCUCUGUCAGAGCUGCUCUCAAUGUCUCAAGCUAUUAUUCGGAUGAGUUUUUCCUGGGAUUUGUUUUUUUAUUUUUAUUUUUAUUUUGAGAGAUCUUUAUGAGGUGUAACCUUGUUCCUUAAGGACUUCGGCUUUGAGCCUCUGGUUUACAUCACUUCAGUUGGAGUAAUCAUCACUCGGUUUAAACUUCUCUGAGCCAGUAUGGAUAAUACAGACCAGGACGAGGGGCCUGUUCAGUCUUUGAGUCAGACAGAAACUGUGACAUCGAACACAGGAGUCAGUUCAAAGGAACAACAGAAACAGCUGGAUGAGUCUGAACAUCAGCCUAAAUCCAACCAGGAGACACCACAGACAAAAAGAGACCCCCCAUCGCUGGCGCUCAUCAAGUUCCGCAUAGAGCAGCUACACAACAGGCGUUUCCUUCUGCUGCAGAUGCAGCACUUCAGAAAGAAACAGGGGGAUAAUGGCAGCGAGACCACAGAGGGAAGUGAGUCAGCGCCUUAAUUUGAUGAUUAAAAACAUAAUACAUCACUCCAGUUAAAUAACCCUGUGACCUGUGACCCGUUGUCACAGGUUGUAUGUAUAUGAGUGAUUUUGCUUUCACAAGAUUUUAAUUUCAAUAAUUCUUAGUCACGAAAAAAAUAAAAAGUUUGAAAAACUCACAAGACAAAAUGUUAAGACGAAUAACCUUUUAGUAGGGUUGCUAGGGUCGAGUGUAAAAAAAAUAUUAAGCCUAAUACUGUUCUUAAUACCUCGAAUUUUAAAAAAAAAGAAAACAUUUUUGUUGAUGAAAUAAAUUAAAACUUAAUUUAUCUAUUUAUUUAUUUAUUUCUGUCUUUUACGGGUUCGUUUAUUUUAAUGUGUCAUAGCAUUUUAGCCAGAAAGCUAAUGUAAGCUUUUUUCCUUCCCCUGCUGAUAAUAAUAAGGCUGAUAAUAAUAAGGUUAGCUAUUGAAGCUAGGAGCUAGCUAGAAUUUCUUUCCAUUUCAUUAUCUUCGAGAAAGAUAAAUGAGCACGUAGUAUAUUUCUUUUUAUAUGCUAUAAUUAAAAAUGGUGAACAGUAGCUCUGUAACUUAGUAAGCUUCCUCUGACACUGUGGUGUCUCCAGUGACGUGCGAGGACAGUGAUGAAGUGUGUGAGCUGGAGACCAUCCAGAAGGAGCUGGAGGAGCUGCUGGUUAAGAUGGAGGAGCUAGAGAAACAGGGAAAGAGCACAGCAAAAGACGGUCAACGGGAUGCACUACGUCCCACUUUUUACAAAACCGAGACACCCACAGGGGGGAUCUACAUGCUGCCGCCACCUCAGCUGACACAGGAGGACGGCACACAGGGGCCCGUCAUAAAAACUUUAUCUGCAGCACAAACACCAACAGACAUGAUCGUUCCAGGUGGGUUACACCUCCCCACUCACACAGUACACUCAUAUAACAUGCAUAUCGUGAAUUUCAAUACAUCCUACUUGCUAUUAGACCAGUAACAGUAUCCUCUGUCUCUCCCGUGGGCAAGCGGACAGUCUGGGCGAUUCGCCGGCCGUCACCCGGUGCCCGACCUGUAGAGAGGUCAUCUUCACAGAAACCCGCAGCACAGUGAGCGAGACAAUGUGGCUGCUCUGUUGCUUGUGCUCCAUGAUGGGGUAAAUCUUCUUGGCGUGCUAGGCUGCUGUUAAAACUAGUCUUAAAGGAAUAGUUCACCAUUUGGUGAAGUACGCUUUAUAAUUUUUUUUUUUUUUUUAGAGUUAGAUGAAAAGAUUAGUAUCUCUCCAAUGUCUGUCCACUGCACAUGAAGCUAAAGCCAGGAAAUGAUCUUAGCUUAGCAUAAAGACUGUUAGCUAAAUCUGCCUGAGAGCAUUUAUUUAAUCUGUACAAAGUCUGUAAGUGUAAAGAAACUCUUGCAGGUCAUAUUGUUUCUCGGCCCAGCAGUUUUUUUGCAUAGAUAAAAACAAACGAGAUAUUGUAUAACGUGUCAGUGAGGGUCAGAGGUUAACUGUUUCCACCAGCCUCUAGUCGUUAUGCUUAACUAAGCUUAGCUAACCAUCUUCUGCGUAAAGCCUCAUAGUUAACAGACAGACACGAGAGUGAUGUCGAUCUUCUCUUCUGACUCUUACAGUCAAAGUAGGAAAACACAAACUUGUUUUGCAGAGAGCUCAGUGACACUGCUGUCGCAAAGAUUAACAUUUGACCUUGAAACAUGACGUGUCACAUGUUUGUUUUCUCGCCGACAGGUGCGUCGGAGGCUGCUGUUUGAUCCCUUUCUUCAUGAAGCGGAUGAAGAACAUCCACCACCAGUGCCCCCAGUGUCAGGCUCACAUAGGCACCCAUCAGCCAUUCUGACAUGGAGCUUUUGUUUUUACUCCUCAGCAGUUCAUUAAGGAAACUCUCCAACACACUGGGUUUUUCAUCUGGACAAGGACUUGUUCUUCUUCUUGUACUUUUGAUUCGACAACUGAUGUUGGAAAUGUGCCUGGAGUCGACUACAACACUGGUGCAAACGCUCAGACAACUUCAAACUAAGUUUUUUGAACUGCCUUGGCCUGUGAUGUCACUCAGUGCUCACUUCAUUAGUGUGACUGUUGCUGAUGAAAGGAUACAGCUCGAAGGUUAACCAACAACCUGCUGACCUUUGUGACCGGUUUCUUUGGUAUUAGGGAAAUAUAUUUGUGAAUAUCUGUUAUCUGAAAGGAAAAUGGAAAUCCCUUGCUGAACAUAUGCAAAUGUCGGGCAUGUGACCCGACCAGUGUAACAAAGAACUGUUGCAUACACUGACGAGCACAAUUCAAAUGUAGUGGCUUCCUUCAUUCUUUAGUUUCUGUUCUUUCAAAGGCAACACGGCUAUUGUUCAUAUUGUUUGUAAUAUAUAUGAGUUUGUAUUUUUUUUAUAAAGUGUAUUGAUCUGUAAUUAACUUCUGCAGAGGCAUCACAGUACACCAAAUUUUAUUGACACAUAAAGGCAUACAGUACUUAUAUACAUCUUUUUGAGUAUUUACAAAAUAGAGAGCCCAUGGAUGUUACACAUGUAUAAAAAUAUGCAUUACAUCUAUAUAAAUAUAUACACAAUGUGCAAAACAUAUGGCAUUACAAACAACAAGAGGCAUGGCAUGGGUGGUGGAGAUAAGAGAGGAGACUCGGCUACAAUGAAGAUCAUAAAUCAAAUGAUGAGGGUGGAGAACCUCGGUGCCUCUCGCCUGUGCUUCCACUAAUGUGCCCAAAAUACAUGUAAUGCAAUGAGACGUCUUGUACAGAGCUCUGUUCUUAAGUUCAGCUCCUCCACCCCGAAAAAUGUAUAAUGUUCACGACGAUGAUAAGCGGCGCAAGGUGGGUGAGGACGAGCCGGAGAGCUGAGGUCAACAUGUGGAAGCCUGAUUGACGGCGCUUCCACGACCCUCUAAUAUAAGAGGGUUAUUCAAACAAGCCCUCACUUAUCUACUCAGAUAUGAAGUGCUUGUCAGCUUAAAAACUAAUGUACUACUGUUUAUGCAGUAAAGGCUCGUACAUGAAUAAAAUCAAGGCAGGAUUUGACAUACAGUACAGUAUAUCAAGGGAGAGCAGCCAUUAUUGCUUUCAGCUGUCCCUGUCUGGCCAGUCAGCAACCACAGUGGCCAAUGGUAAAGUGGUGUCACAUCAUAGUGGAAGUCAUGUGUAGAUUUACUGCAGCCAAGAGGUUUGUGUAUGUCUGAUAUGCAAAAUAAAAAUGAAAAUUAAAGAAAACUCUGCAAACCAAAAAUAUACACAUGAAAUCUCCGCUUACAGAUUUUACACCAACAUGAAAACAAGAUUAAAUGUUUUUUUUUUUUCCUUUUACGUUUCACCCUAAAAUAAAAAAAACAUAUAUAACAAAACAUGAUAAUAUGUUCCACUGCCGUUUAGACAACAAAAUACCAAAAUAUGACAGAGAAAAACAAAAUACACAAUUAACUCAUCAUCGCUUUUAGGAUACGCAUAAACCAACUAGUGACUCUUACUGUUCAUCCUACGAAGGAUUUAACACUCGCAGCAACGUGGGAAAAAAGAAAAGAAUUACGACUACACCUGCUCGUACAGGUACAGCGAGAACAUGCGACAAAGCCUAGAAGCAGGUCUGUACAGUAUUCAGCCGACUCUUUCAGGGGGUCAAACGUAACCAGGAUUUGGGAACAUCCAAGUGUCUCGACCUGAUCUGAUGAUAAAUGUGCAUCUGCAGCAGUAAGAGUGUUAUACUUAUACGAUGACGAGACAGUGUUGACAUGGAGGGCUCUCAGUCAUUUUGCUCAGGUCUCCACAUUAUUGCUGAUGUGAACAGUAAAUCAGCAUUAUACAGGCAGAGAAUGCAUCUCUGUAAAAUGCAAAAAAAUAAAAAAACACGAAAACAAAACAAAAUAAAAGCCCCUUUUACUUUUUCUCCUGCUAGAAAAUGACCCUGAAGUAACAGUUGCCACUGAAAAUGUGCCGUCAUGCCACAACUGGAGAGCGAGCGCCCUCUAGUGCCCAUGGAUGUAAUAACACAAUAAAGUGGUUCAAUGCAAAAUGUAAUUUCAAUGAAUAGAAUCGAUUUAAAAGAGAAUUAAAAAAAAAAAAAAAAAAGCAAUCUUAUUUCAAAGUGCCAUACAGUAAGACUGUAUCAAUCCCAAAAGAAUAUUUA